UUUGUAUGAACAUAAAUUCAAGGGGAUUGGUGUUUUCGAUAAAUUAUUUCUCGCAUUUCAUUAUUUGAACACAGUUUCAAAUAUAGAUUCGUUUCUGAACUAAAUACUACAAGGUUGGAGCAAUUUAUUACAAACAUUAGCCCAAAUACAAGCCCUGAGACGUUCGCUCGCAUUGAUUAAACGCAGCUGCAGGUGUAGGUUAACUCAUAACAAAUGCGAGCCCGUACGUAAACUAUGUGGUUUAUUUGAUCAUUAGUUAUCAUAAAGACAUGUUACCCACCUCGUUGUUAGUCCUCCACAGACCAUAGAGCGUCCGGUUAAAUGGCAUUUUACUUUCAACGCUAAUAUAGUUCAGUAAAGGCCGCACCUGUUGCUAACUGAAGCUACUCACCGAGCUAGCUAGCUAGCUUACAUUCCUACGUAAGCUAGCUAGCUAGAUGAUUGGAUUGAUUAGAUUUGUUGGCCUAUUUUACACGGUUCAACCGUUUAGUUAAGAUUAUGAGGACUUAACGGUAGCAGACGAAGCAGUGAGACAGCUAACAGGUUUUAGCUACAUUAGCAUUAAGCCACCUGCUGCUCCAGGCCGUUAAUUACCCGACUAUAACUAGCGUUAGCCUUUGAACACUCCUGAAAUGAUUAGUUUAGAUUAUAUUACAGUAUUUCACUAAGAAAUUGUACAUCUGUACAACUUAAAGUUACGAAAAUAGAUAACUUGUUAUACACAGUAAUAUGAUUUUAUACUGACCUAGACACACGAAUCCACAGUUUUGCGGGGAUGCGGCGUUCAAGGACCAAAGUUCUCCUCUCCUAUUACAGCUCAUGGAUGAAUGGUUUACAUUAGCAAACUGCAAUGGGUGGAAGUGGACACGACUGACGUGUGUAGAGGAAGCCGCGGGGUCAGGGCGAGUUGAACCUCAUGUCAGAAUUGUCCCCGCGCUGACCUGCGCCUGACUGGCCUCCAAGCAAAAAGCCCCUGUGAAGGAGGCGAAGGGAGGCUGCGCUGAUCUGAAGGUGAAAAACACCCUCCUCCGCUCCCCCCAGCUGGAACAUCUGUCUCUGCGAUCUUGGCUGCAGCGGCGGCUGUGACACCUCCAGAUGGAGAGCCCUCUGGGAGCGCUGAGGUAUUACCUGCAGAGAUGCCAGGGAUCACACCUCUGGAAUGAAGUCCCACACUUGUUUUCGGCGCCGUUCCCCAUUCUGUUGUUGGAUCUGUCACAAUUCACCAGAUCAAUUGCCACCUCCUCAGUCCUUGGCCUUGUGACUCGACUGAAGACGAAGCUUUUGGCUUGUGAAGAAAUGCAUGGCAGCAAACCUCUCAGCCCUUUUCUAAUUUACAGUAAUGGGCCGUAUGGUAUUUCAUCUGUAACUUCUAUUCGUAGAAUUGUAUUAAUUUUUAAUAUAGUUGUGAGAGUACUGCAUAUUUGGAAUGAUCGUUGAUUUCCAUUUCCUAGAUACAUGUUUUCCAGAGACAUAGAACAGUUUAAAGUUCAUUGGCUAAAUGACCUGCAGCCUUAUUAGUCUAAAUAUUAAAGCAAUACCUGUAAGAAUGGACUCGGCGAGAGGCCUUGAGUUAACUUCUUCCAGCCACUCUGAGCUAUUCUAGUGCUUUGACAAAUUGACUCCGCAUUCAUAUGGGCCUGAACUCUGCGUGAACCUCGGCUUUAGGAAGAAGGGCACCAAACAGGCCGGGGCUGCUGGGGCAGAAAGACUGUGUGCAGACCCAACACCCAGUGCAAAUAUUGAAACUGCGGCCCAUUUAGCCUUCGCACCAAAGCAAGCGGCCGGUGUCAGCAAAUGUUUAGCUAAAAACCCCAAAACGAGCACGGAGGUGUGGAAUCAUCACCUCAGCUGCUCCGGUUGAAAAAGGGUCCGUCUGUAUAAAAGCUACUGAACCUAAAUCUGGGUGAAAUAAGUGGCGUUAUGAAGCAACCUGUGUCAAUACCUAAGAAUUUGGGUAACAAAUCAAGGGAGGGACUAGCUGGGGUUUGUUGUCAUGUUUAGAGCCCCUGGAGGUAUUUUGAGGUGAAAA